rnacentral:lncRNA from 1 species
CCACCCAGUUCGUCCUGUACAAGUAGUUAUGAUCGUUUGAAGUUGACCCUAAAAAUCUGUUUUGAGAGGCUGAAGUAAAACGAGUAUAACUCCUUCCUCAGAUGUUGGAUUUGAAUGAAACCAAUUGCAUUGGAAAGAAGACUCAGAGAUCUUUCUUUUGAUAUGUGGUAGCUCUCACAGUUCAUUAUAUUGAGGGAGUUAUGAUCGUUCAAAGUUGACCCAAAAAACUGGCAGGCCUCAGUAGUUUUCCUGCACAUUUACUGUUCACAUCCCGGCCACCGUUUUAAAGUUUCGAACGAGCUCGCUUAUAUCCGAAACUUAUCCGUUUUUGGAAAUAUUUAUAUCGUUGGAAAGCUUAUUCAAUAACCUUCGUAUGGAACCAUCGACGGGAAAAUUCCGGUAUAAAUAAAGUCGAUUCCUAUACACCUAUAAUCAAACUACACACUUGAAACCAUCUCAAAAUAAUCAAUACUCAUACUUAAACUCAUAUAUACCUAACUUAGGAUCAAUACAUAUA